UGAGUACGAGCUGCUACGGCAGCGAAGUGGGUGAUGUCAAGCUUCCAAGAAAAGCCCUAUACCCGUUAAGGCAUGAUGGCCUGUACCCGAAACCGACACAGGUGGGGUGGUAGAGAAUACCGAGGGGCGCGAGAUAACUCUCUCUAAGGAACUCGGCAAAAUGGCCCCGUAACUUCGGGAGAAGGGGUGCCACCGCAAGGUGGUCGCAGUGAAGAGGCCCAGGCGACUGUUUACCAAAAACACAGGUCUCCGCUAAGUCGCAAGACGAUGUAUGGAGGCUGACGCCUGCCCAGUGCCGGAAGGUUAAGGAAGCUGGUCAGCGUAAGCGAAGCUAGCGACUGAAGCCCCGGUGAACGGCGGCCGUAACAAUAACGGUCCUAAGGUAGCGAAAUUCCUUGUCGGGUAAGUUCCGACCCGCACGAAAGGCGUAACGAUCUGGGCGCUGUCUCGGAGAGAGGCUCGGCGAAAUAGAAUUGUCUGUGAAGAUGCGGACUACGUGCACCCGGACAGAAAGACCCUAUGAAGCUUUACUGUAGCUUGGUAUUGUGCUCGGGCUCGGAAUGCGCAGGAUAGGUGGGAGGCUAUGAACCAUUGCUUGUGGGUGAUGGUGAGCCACUGGUGAGAUACCACUCUUUCCGAGCUAGAGUUCUAACAGCCACCCGUUAUCCGGGGGCUGGACUGUAUCAGGUGGGCAGUUUGACUGGGGCGGUCGCCUCCUAAAAGGUAACGAGGCGCGCAAAGGUUUGCUCAGGCUGGUUGGAAAUCAGCCGACGAGUGUAAAAGCAGAAGCAAGCUUGACUGUGAGACCUACAAGUCGAACAGGGAGGAAACUCGGCUUUAGUGAUCCGACGGUUCUGCGUGGAAGGGCCGUCGCUCAACGGAUAAAAGUUACUCUAAGGAUAACAGGCUGAUCUCCCCCAAGAGUUCACAUCGACGGGGAGGUUUGGCACCUCGAUGUCGGCUCAUCGCAACCUGGGGCUGAAGUCGGUCCCAAGGGUUGGGCUGUUCGCCCAUUAAAGCGGUACGCGAGCUGGGUUCAGAACGUUGUGAGACAGUUCGGUCCAUAUCCGGUGCAUGCGCAGGAAUAUUGAGAGGAUUUCUCCCUAGUACGAGAGGACCGGGAGGAACGCACCUCUGGUGUACCAGUUAUCGUGCCAACGGUAAACGCUGGGUAGCCAUGUGCGGAGAGGAUAACCGCUGAAAGCAUCUAAGUGGGAAGCCCACCUCAAGAUGAGUAUUCCCAUGGGGUAACCCAGUAAGGUCACGGGAAGAACACCCGUUGAUAGGCUCUACGUGGAAGCGCAGUAAUGUGUGAAGCGGAGGAGUACUAAUAGACCGAGGGCUUGAC
rnacentral:rRNA from 1 species